CCUAGGGUAAAACCGAUAACUGGGGCUAAGUCGUAACAAGGUAGCCGUACCGGAAGGUGCGGCUGGAAUACCUCCUUUCUGGAG
rnacentral:rRNA from 1 species